rnacentral:rRNA from 1 species
GAUGAACGCUGGCGGCGUGCCUAAUACAUGCAAGUCGAGCGAAGGGACGAGAGGCUUGCUUCUCUGAUGUUAGCGGCGGACGGGUGAGUAACACGUGGAUAACCUACCUAUAAGACUGGGAUAACUUCGGGAAACCGGAUCUAAUACCGGAUGAUAUUUUGAACCGCAUUGUUCAAAAGUGAAAGACGGUCUUGCUGUCACUUAUAGAUGGAUCCGUGCUUCAUUAGCUAGUUGGUAAGGUAACGGCUUACCAAGGCAACGAUGCAUAGCCGACAUGAGAGGGUGACAGGCCACACUGGAACUGAGACACGGUCCAGACUCCUACGGGAGGAAGCAGUAGGGAAUCUUCCGCAAUGGGCGAAAGCCUGACGGAGCAACGCCGCGUGAGUGAUGAAGGUCUUCGGAUCGUAAAACUCUGUUAUUAGGGAAGAACAUAUGUGUAAGUAACUGUGCACAUCUUGGCGGUACCUAAUCAGAAAGCCACGGCUAACUACGUG